GUACACGCUGUGACUAGCAUAUCAAUAAGCGGAGGAAAAGAAACUAACAAGGAUUCCCCUAGUGACGGCGAGUGAAGCGGGAAGAGCUCAAAUUUGAAAUCUUAAAGGGUUUCCCUUUACGAAUUGUAGUUUAAAGAAGUGUUUUCUGUUGAGGUUUUGGUAAAAGUUCUUUGGAAUAGGACAUCAUAGAGGGUGAGAAUCCCGUAUUUGACCUUUACUUUCAACUUUGUGAUACACUUUCAAAGAGUCGGAUUGUUUGGGAAUGCAGUCCAAAAUGGGUGGUAAAUUUCAUCUAAAGCUAAAUAUUGGCGAGAGACCGAUAGCGAACAAGUACCGUGAGGGAAAGAUGAAAAGAACUUUGAAAAGAGAGUUAAACAGUACGUGAAAUUGUCAAAAGGGAAGCGUUUGACACCAGUGUUGUUUUUCUGAAAAUCAAUUAAAGAACUGUUUAUGCUAAGCUGUUUAGACUUUAUCAGCUAUACUGUUUAGUUUUGAGCUUUUCUUUAAUGCACUUUUCAGUUAACAAGUCAACAUCAAUUUCUUUUGCUGUAAAAAAGCUUGAGGAAGGUGGCUUGAGAUUCGUCUUAAGUGUUUAUAGCCUCUUGCCUAUGCAGUCGGAGAGAUUGAGGUCUGCAGCGUAGAUCCUUCGGGGCUAAAUGCAUUUGUGCUAAGUUAUAACAUUUUAUAGACAACUUGUUGGACUAUGAUUUGUCUUGUAGCUUACUCGCUUAUGUUAUUUUACCUACGCUUAGGAUGUUGACGCGCGUGUGUGCGUG
rnacentral:rRNA from 1 species